AGUAGCUCAGCUGGAUAGAGCAACGGCCUUCUAAGCCGUCGGUCGGGAGUUCGAAUCUCUCUU
rnacentral:tRNA from 1 species